rnacentral:rRNA from 1 species
UGGGCGAAAGCCUGAUCCAGCAAUGCCGCGUGAGUGAUGAAGGCCUUAGGGUUGUAAAGCUCUUUUACUGGGGAUGAUAAUGACAGUACCCAGAGAAUAAGCUCCGGCUAACUCCGUGCCAGCAGCCGCGGUAAUACGGAGGGAGCUAGCGUUGUUCGGAAUUACUGGGCGUAAAGCGCACGUAGGCGGCUUUUUAAGUCAGGGGUGAAAUCCCGGGGCUCAACCCCGGAACUGCCCUUGAAACUGGGAAGCUAGAAUCUUGGAGAGGCGAGUGGAAUUCCGAGUGUAGAGGUGAAAUUCGUAGAUAUUCGGAAGAACACCAGUGGCGAAGGCGACUCGCUGGACAAGUAUUGACGCUGAGGUGCGAAAGCGUGGGGANNNAACAGGAUUAGAUACCCUGGUAGUCCACGCCGUAAACGAUGAUAACUAGCUGUUCGGGUUCAUAGAACUUGAGUGGCGCAGCUAACGCAUUAAGUUAUCCGCCUGGGGAGUACGGUCGCAAGAUUAAAACUCAAAGGAAUUGACGGGGGCCUGCAC